AGAGAUGUGUGAUGACGCAUAUCAAUAAGCGGAGGAAAAGAAACUAACAAGGAUUCCCUUAGUAACGGCGAGUGAAGCGGGAAGAGCUCAAAUUUGAAAUCUUCAAGGUUCUACCUUGACGAAUUGUAGUUUAUAGAAGUGUUUUCUGUUAGUAGGAGUGGCAAAAGUUCUUUGGAAUAGGACAUCAUAGAGGGUGAGAAUCCCGUAUUUGGUCAUUCUUUCUAGCUUUGUGAUACACUUUCAACGAGUCGGAUUGUUUGGGAAUGCAGUCCAAAAUGGGUGGUAAAUUUCAUCUAAAGCUAAAUAUUGGCGAGAGACCGAUAGCGAACAAGUACCGUGAGGGAAAGAUGAAAAGAACUUUGAAAAGAGAGUUAAACAGUACGUGAAAUUGUCAAAAGGGAAGCGUUUGACACCAGCGUUGUUUUCUCGAAAAUCAAUUAAAAAUGGCGGGAUUUUGUGUUGUAUUGACUUUAUCAGCUUUCAGCACUUUUUUCCUGUCUUUUUUAAUGCACUUUUCGUUUAACAAGUCAACAUCAAUUUCUUUUGUUGUAAAAGGGUCAUUGGAAGGUGGCUUUCUUUUCAGAGAAAGUGUUUAUAGCCUUUGGCCUCUGCAAUCGGAGAGAUUGAGGUCUGCAGCGUAGAUCCUUCGGGGUUAGAUGCAUUUGUGCUAAGCUAUAGCCUUUCAUAGACAACUUGUUGACUAUGAUCAGUCAUGUAGCUUACUCGCUUAUGUCAUUUUACCUACGCUUAGGAUGUUGACAGCAGUAUAGACUGU
rnacentral:rRNA from 1 species